rnacentral:rRNA from 1 species
GGAGAUUAAAGAUUUAUCGGUGAUGGAUGGGGAUGCGUCUGAUUAGCUUGUUGGCGGGGUAACGGCCCACCAAGGCGACGAUCAGUAGGGGUUCUGAGAGGAAGGUCCCCCACAUUGGAACUGAGACACGGUCCAAACUCCUACGGGAGGCAGCAGUGAGGAAUAUUGGUCAAUGGACGAGAGUCUGAACCAGCCAAGUAGCGUGCAGGAUGACGGCCCUAUGGGUUGUAAACUGCUUUUAUAAGGGAAUAAAGUGAGUCUCGUGAGACUUUUUGCAUGUACCUUAUGAAUAAGGACCGGCUAAUUCCGUGCCAGCAGCCGCGGUAAUACGGAAGGUCCGGGCGUUAUCCGGAUUUAUUGGGUUUAAAGGGAGCGUAGGCCGGAGAUUAAGCGUGUUGUGAAAUGUAGACGCUCAACGUCUGCACUGCAGCGCGAACUGGUUUCCUUGAGUACGCACAAAGUGGGCGGAAUUCGUGGUGUAGCGGUGAAAUGCUUAGAUAUCACGAAGAACUCCGAUUGCGAAGGCAGCUCACUGGAGCGCAACUGACGCUGAAGCUCGAAAGUGCGGGUAUCGAACAGGAUUAGAUACCCUGGUAGUCCGCACGGUAAACGAUGGAUGCCCGCUGUUGGUCUGAAUAGGUCAGCGGCCAAGCGAAAGCAUUAAGCAUCCCACCUGGGGAGUAC